UUCAGCACUGGUGAAGAAUCCUGGCUGCCAUCCCCAGCACUGCAGAAACUGGGUGUGGUCUUGUAGAUCUGUCAUUGCAGCACUUAGAGUUCAAAGUCACCCUUGGCUACCUGGAGAAUUCAAGGGCAGCCUGGGCUACAUGAGACUGUUUCAAACAAAACAAAACAAAGAAACUCACAUAGGUGGGACGCAGGGCUCUUCCGUUUUCUACUCUUUAAAAAAGUGAAGUGUGUGUGUGUGUGUGUGUGUGUGAAGGAGACAUAGAGAAGUGGGGGAGGGAGACAUGGCUAGUGUUGCUGACGAAGUUUCUGGAAAUCCCAAUUGUUUUUGAGCCACUUGGCAUUCCAGGGUUUGGGUGGGAAUCAUUGCAACACCUGCGGCCUCAGGGCCCAGGUAAGACAGUGCAGGUGUUGGGAGGGGACCCCUGGGCUUUGUCAUCAUUGUGAUUCCAAGGUUAAGGCUGGGCCUGCCUGGCCCCUGUCCCACCCAGGGCAGUGUUGGCUGAGGAAGAGGGCAAGUUCAGAGUCAGUCUAGUCAGGCCUUCUGGUUAUGUGAGGGGGUCAGAACUAGUGAUCCACCCCCCCACCUCUAUUUCCCCCUACCCUCACCCCUGACCCCCACCAUGAGAGAGCUGAAUCUGUCUCUGCUCCCUGCUGGGCUGGAUGGAGCCCACCAUUUCCAUCCUGUUCCACCUGCUCCCUUACAAGCGUCUCUGGUUGUUUUGUUGGAUCUGAGCUCCCUUGAGUGGUGACUGCAUCUGUUUAAAGAUUAACUUUCCCAGAGCUGGGAGACGGCUCACUCCUUCGGUAGAGUGUAAGCAUAGGAACCUGAGUUCUGAUCUCCAGAACCCAAAUAAAAUGCUAAGAAUGGCAGGGCCAUUCUCCAAGUGAGUUCUGAAGUUAAACACAGUUCAUCCUUCAGUAAGCCAGUAGCAAUUACAUUCACUCCAGCUAGAGAGAAGUCCAGUCACAUGCAAGGUCCUGUGUCUACUUCAAAGUCUUCCUAGUGAGAGCUGAGAGUCCUCUGGCAUGAUUACCAACAUGGCAACUCAGUGCCACAUGUCAGCAGAUUCUGGAUCUUAGUGAUUUGUAGGAGCUUUUUGCAUAUGAAGGAUAUAUUUGUCCUUCCUGGUUUGUGAUGGGUCCUUAGUGCCUUUUCUCUCACUGUAAAAGAGUUUCAAAUUUCUUUUCUUUAUGGCUAGGAUCCCCCCUUGCAAGUUGAAUGUUUCGUUGUUGUUAUUGUUUUGUUUUGUUUCUAUAUUUUUUAGUAUUUAUUUUUUUGUAAGGCAUGGAUGCCAAGAUUGGUGGUAAGCAACUUUAUCCACUGAGCUAUAUCUCAGCAGCCCAGAAGAGGAUAGUUAACUCUUCCUUUUCUUCAGUGGGGCCCAGUAUCAGCUGGCUUGGGCAUGUGUACUGUCCCCACAGGGGGAAGUGACAGUCUGUGGUCUCCUGGCUCCUGCCUGUUCAUCUGAGGACAAGCCAACUGGCAGUAAGAAUAGGAAGGGCAGGAAGGGCCUGCUUACUGCCCCACUCUGGGCUGGACACUGGAGCCUCAAGUGUUCUUACCACUUCUGGGUAAGAGGGGCCUCAUCUCAUUCCCAUUGUGCCCAGACUCCUGAUACCCCUCCACCAAAGCACAAGAUGUCAUCUAGCCAGUGGAAACAGAAGGUCCUCCUUAUGCAUAGGCUGAGGGCUUUGUCUCUGAGAGGGCUGGCAAGGCAAGGUGGCUGGUCACUGGAAUCUAGAUAGAUGCACCCCGUGGCCUCAUUUAUAUCUGUAGACAGGUGAGUUCCAGAGAAUGCCUACUUCUAAAAUGGUUUCAUAGUUUGUGAUUACCCACAAGUCUUGCCCUCUUCCAUUCAUUCAGAAAUGGAGAGAUUUGAGGGUUAUAGGAUAAAGCGGAAAUGGGUGUGUGGUGUACACGCUGUCUCCAGGGAAGAGUGUCAGGCCGGCAGACUAUAGGUCUGGAGGUGGGGUUGUGGAGAGAUCUGCUCACAGAGGUUUGUGGAGAAGGGCUGUGGCUAAAGUGGCCUAGCUGCCAAGGUUGGGAGUCUGUGCCUAUGUGUGCAGCUACGGUCUUCCUUCCACACUGAAGCCCAUUCCUGGGAAGGCCUGUUUUGUGGAAAAGGAGAAGAGGGGCUCUCUCUGGAGAAGGAGUCAACACAGCCUGGCUUGGAGCUCAGGGACCACCCCACUGGCAUCUCCCCUUUAGCAGUUUAUUCCAGAAUCAAAGAUCAGGCUAGGAUGGACACCCCAAUGCCUUGUUAAGUCUCAGCUUAUCCCUGCAGAGUUGGAGUGAUCCCUUUGUAAGACACUGUGUGUGUGUGUGUGUGUGUGUGUGUGUGUGUGUGUGUGUGUGUGUGAGUGUGUGUGUGUGUGUGUUUUAGGCACAGCUUAAGGCAGCAGCUGACUACAAGAGACCCCACUUGAAGCUGAUAUACACAGUGGAAAGAGAAGAAUGGAUUCUGAGGCACUCUUGGGGAGCAUCCUCAGUCUGCAGAGGUCACCACAUUGCAAGCUGCAUGCAAGACACAUGUGACCUUCGUGCUUCUGAGCAACCAGAAGGCUGAGACCUCAGCUUCUCCUUUCUCAGGUUUGGGUGGCUCAUGUAUCUGUAGUCAGUCCUAAAAAGAGCACUGAACUUUACCCCACCCUUACUGCCUUAAAGGCCAGUCCCCUAGGAGAGCUGACUACCCAUGGAAGCUGGGGCGAGCACCCCCAAUGUCCUGAGGGCUUUCUAGUAGAGUGGACACUGGGUGGAGAGGGAGCUCCAGAGCUCCAGGCAAGGCCUAGUGACUCCUCUACAGGAGGGCAGAAAACUGUGUGGAGAGGGAGGUCACAGCUCUACAAAGGGAACACAUUCUCAAAGCCACUCACCAAGUACUGGAAUAGCUACCCAUCUUGGUUAAGGGCAGACAUGAUGUGGCAGCAUGAGGAUGCAGUUAUGGGGAUGAGCUUGGUCCAGGUUUGGGAUGUGUUCUCAGUGUGAGCAUGGGGAGAGUUCAAGCAAUGCCUUCCCAGAGUGAGGUGGACACCAGGAGCAAGUGACAGAGCUCCAGGGGAUGGUUCUGCUUCCAGCCAUGAAGUGGGUGAGAAGCACUGUGGCCCCAGAGAUGAGUAGCUGCAAACUGAUGACAAGGAGAGAUGGACAGACCUCGGAAGUGGGGCAAGAAGGACCUGGUGUUGGACAGGUGAGGUUAGUAAAGAGACUGAGUCACACCAAAGCCAAUAAAGUCACCACAAACAACCUAAUAAAGGGAAGUCCUAGACUGGCUCCUUCAUAGGUAAAUUCGAACACUCAGAGAACUAACACCAGGUCUUCCCAAUUUUCCAGAACAAGGAAGGACUCAGAACACCUUUGAGUUCAUUUGAUGAAGCUGGCAUUUCUUUGACACUACACUACACUACUGCACAUAAAUAGUAGCCUUAUUACAGAGGCUGGGUAUUCGAGGAGGUUGGAGAGAAGACACAGUUAGUAAAGGUCACUCAUCAACCACGAGGACCUGGGUUUGGAUCCCAACACCCAUAUCAGGGGGCUCACAACUGCCUGGAAUUUCAGUUCAGAGUACUCUCCUGACCUCCAUGGGCACCUGCACACACAUGUGCGUAUAUACUCACAGAGAUGCAUACAUGUAGACACAUACAUUAAAGGAAGGAGGGAAGGAAGGAAGAAUUACAUGUUUGGGGACAAAUCUAACCAUGGAAGUGAAAAGCUGGUUGGCAGAAAACCACAAAACCUCUUAACAAAAUGAUUAAGACCCAAAUACAUGGAAAGACUCCCCAUGUUCUUACUAGAGUGACAACACAAAUAAUCAACAGAUAAAUCACAUUUUCCAUCAAAAGUCUAAAGACAUUUUCCAGGGAAAUGUAAAAACCAAUCUCUAAAUUCAUGAGUUCCACUGGGCCCCAAAUAGCUAAACAACCCUGAAAGAGGAAAAAAAAAAAAAGAGAGAAAUCUACACUGUCAACUUUAAAACUUACUACAAAGCUACCAUCAUCAAAGCAGCAUGGCACCAACCUAUGAACAGACAUAAAAAUGUAAAAUACAGCCCAGGAAGAAGCCUCAUGUUGUUGACAAGGGUUCUGAGAUUGUUCAAAAAGGAAAGAGCCAUCUUCUCCACAAAUGGUGGAGAUGGAGCUGGGCAACCCCAAAGAAAAGAAUGAAGCCAGGCCCUUACCUUGAACCACACACAGAAGCUGACUCCAGGUGGACCAUAGCUGUAAAUGUGAGAACUCAACCACAGCUCCCUGUAAAAGGAAACUUCAGGGAUCUUCAUGGCAAUCAAACUGCAUUUCAAACCAAAAAGUACUCAAGAAGGGUAUUCUGGGUUCAGUGAAAGACGUGACUGAAAAGGGCUGAUAGGGAGAGAUGGCUCAGAGGUUAAGAGCACCUGUCCUUGCAGAGAACCUACCUGUGUUUGGUUCCCAGCACCCACAUGCUGCCUCAUAGCUUUUGCAACUCCAGUUCUGUGGGGAUUCAACACCCUCUUCUGACCUUCACAGGCGCCAGUCACACAUAUGAUGCACAUAUACAGGCAAAACACCCCCAUGCAAAAAUAAUUUUUUUAAGAGGAGGGUGAUAGAGAAAGGUCACUGACAACAAUCUCUAUGUGCACAUAACCCUGCACGCACACAUGCACACACAGACAGACACACACACACACACACACAUACACAUAGACAGACAGACAGAUAGACACACACACACAUACACAUAGACAGACAGACAGAUAGACACACAUACACACACACACACACACACACACACACCAGAAUAUAUAAAGAACUCUUAUAAUUCAACAACUAAGGAGCAAUCCAAUCUUGAAAAUGUCAUGAGAAAUAGUUUCAUCACUAGUCAUUAGAGAAAUACAAAGCAAAGCCACAGUGGAAAUCACCCAGUGUCAGCUUAAAUCAACAAGAAUAUCAAAGAUGCUGGGCAGUGGUGGCAAACAUCUUCAAUCUCAGUAUUUUGGAGACAGAGGCAUGUGGAUCUCUGAGUUCCAGGCCAGCCUGGUCUACAGAGUGAGUUCUAAGACAGCCAGGGCCACACAGAGAAGCCUUGCAUAGGUACAUACAUACAUACAUACAUACAUACAUACAUACAUACAUACCAAAGAAAAGAGCAGAUAUCGGCGGCGUGGAGGAACCAGACCUCCCAGCUAUGGGGAUGACAGUUUCUCUGGUUGAUGUGCAAGACACUUGAACAGUGCAGCAGAAACUUCCAGGGUGCUAUGCAGGUGACCCGGCAAUUCCUUUGGAUUUACACAGAAGAAUCAAAGCUGCCAACUCCAGCAGACAUUGUGCAUGCAUGCUAACAUCAGCGUUUAGUCCACGGUAGCCCAGAGUUGGAAACAGCUGAAAUGUAAGUUUAAUAGGGGAGUGGGCGAGCAAAACUUGUUCCAUCCUCCAGUGGAGUAUUGCCAUUUCGCUCCUCUUCCAUUAACAGCAUGAUCGCACCAAGAUUGGAGCACCAGGAUGGGAGCACCAAGAUUGGAGCACCAGGAUGGGAGCACCAGGAUGGGAGCAUCAGGAUGGGAGCACCAGGAUGGGAGCACCAGGAUGGGAGCAUCAGGAUGGGAGCACCAGGAUGGGAGCACCAGGAUGGGAGCAUCAGGAUGGGAGCACCAGGAUGGGAGCAUCAGGAUGGGAGCACCAGGAUGGAAGCAUCAGGAUGGAAGCACCAGGAUGGGAGCACCAAGAUCAGAGCACCAGGAUGGGAGCACCAGGAUGGGAGCACCAAGGAUGGGAGCACCAGGAUGGGAGCAUCGGGAUGGGAGCACCGGGAUGGGAGCACCAAGGAUGGGAGCACCAGGAUGGGAGCAUCAGGAUGGGAGCACCAGGAUGGGAGCAUCAGGAUGGGAGCACCAGGAUGGGAGCACCAAGAUCAGACCCAUCAGACUGGUGGUCUGAGAGGGAGGCAGUUUUCAUUAAGCAGUUUAUUUAAUUGGGGGAGAGGGAGAGGGAGGAAACCAAGGCUGUUUAAACCUUCGGGGGACAAGAGCUAUGGGGUAGGUGGACAUCACUGGUAUUCAUCAGGGUGCUGGUGAUGCCUCAUUUACAUAACAAGGAAUUCCAGGCACUGCUGGACUUGAUCUUACAAGGGGAAAGGAAGUUUAGUGACCUCCUCUGCUGGGGGCAUGAGUCUCUGUGCACUGGGACAACAGACCCAAGGCAGGAGGGUGGAGUCCUACUUCUGCCAGUCUCAGGACGAGGUUUCUGGGCUGUAGACAUGCCUCAGCCCCACUCUUGCCCCAGGCCUGCUCCCCUGACCCCACAGAGCAUCAGUCAGUCUUAGGAAGGGUGAUCUGACAUACGCUGGAACACGGGUAAACAGUGAGGACAUGGCAUCCCAGAGAAGGAAAGCAGAGGCGAGACACAUCUUGUGGGAUUUUGCCUUCUCCAGAUCUCCAGAAUAAUAAGUCUCCAAGGAGAAAUCAAAUGAUGGUUACUGGGCCCUGGGGACAGAGUUGGCCGUUUAGUGGGGACAGCUUCAUGUGUGUAAAUGAAAUAAUUGGGGAGUGGGAUUACAGCCAUGGCAGUCCUGUUCGUCUGGGGAAUGUUCACUGGAAAACCUUUAAAAUAGUAGCACUUGGCGUGCUUUUUACAACUAGUUAAAUGGAGGUGCACUGUCACAUAAAUAUAAACAUAAAAAAGGAUAGGGCUAUGCUGGGGAGAUGACCCAGUGGGGAAAGUGUCUGGGGUGCAAAUCCAAGGCAUUGAAUUCGAUCUCCAGCACCUAUAUAGAAGCCAGGGUGAUGGUGAGCGCCAGCCAUGCCAGUGCUGUGGAGUGGGGGACUGGAAGGCUCCUGGGGCCAGUCUAACCAUUUGGAAGAAGACCCUGCCUUAAAAACUACUGUGGAGAGCAAUGGUGGAAAACACAGAUGUAGACUUUUGGCCUUCACAAGCACAUCAUGUCUACAUGUACACACACACACACACACACACACACACACACACACACACACACACACACACAAAUGCACAGGAUGCGGCCAGCUUGCUACCUCUAAUCCCCAGAAGUUAUGAACCAGUUGCAUCAUAGCCACUUACCAGCACCAGUCAGGAAAUGCACAGGCCAGCUGUAUAAAGGAAAGGCUAGACCAGGGAUGUGGUUGUGUUACAUCCAGAGCCCCACUGCAUGGGCUGUGAGGUCAGUCCUAUUCUUAAGUACAGUGUAGGAGCACAGAUGAGAGACACAGGGCAGUCAGAGGUGUUCAGGGACCACACAGCUGGGCCUGUCUGGGAGCUCACCUCCACCACCCAGGAUGGCUCCAGUUUGAAGGCCCACAUGCCAGAAGGUUCUGCCACUUCCUCCCUGCAUCUCCCUUGCCUCACUCCACCCAUGGGUUUAUUCUCUGGCCCGACACAGAUCAGGGGUACCAAGGCACAGACCUGUGAUCACAGACACAUAGAUGCUCACAGCAGCCCCAGGCGUCUGUCCCCCCGCACCCCCUCUCUCUCAUGCACGAUCCCACACAGGUACUCGUGGUGUUCACAGACUACAAACUUGCAAACAUGCCGGGCAUGCACUCGCACACGUGGUCGUACACCCACAUGCACAGGCACCGCCCAAAACAACCCAAGGCAGGGGCUACCAUCCACGUGCCUCGCUGCUAACCAAACUAGCCAGUAGGGACUUGCUUAAUUGCUGUUAGGGGGAGGAGCCAGCGGCAGCCAAGGAUGCCUGCCAGCAUGUGGGUGGGUGCCCUCCAGCCCCUUGCUGCUUGGUAACCAAACCCAAGCCCGGCCUCAGGAAUGCUGGGCAGAGGAGAGAAAAGGAAAAAUGCCCACACCCUAUAAUUUAAACAUGUCCUUGUGGCACACACAGGCUGCUUGGCUUUGCCAGUGCCAGGCCUCCCAUGGGCACGUGAAAGACUACCGGCUGAGUGGCCAGUGGGUGUGGCCAUCAGACAGGGCACCCUGGCCUUCUAUCCCUGAUAGGGCCACACUGCUUCCUGUUCACGUCUCACCUGCAGCUGGGCACGGCUGAGCACCCGAGAUAACAUCCUCCUGUUCUCUCCUCAUGCUCUGCAGCCUACUCAGGUUAGGCCUGUGCUACCUCGCACCCACUGCCAGGUGUGGCACAGGGGCCUGCCCUGAGCUGGAGCUGCUUCCUUCCCUGGCCCCCAAGACUCCUCAGCCUUGGCUGACCUCAGAUAGCCCCUACCCACUAGCGGGCCCACCUCUCCCUUCUUCGCCUCAGAUUUUUGCAAUAUUAUUUUUGCUCUCACUAACCCCCAGCCCAUCCUCAAAGUCUUGGCCCCUGGGAUGCUGGCUGGGGUCUGCUGGCAUCCUGAAUGGGGAUCUCGGAGAUGGGUGACAGGGAUUUGUGGAUUUCCCACACCUAUCUUACCCCAGAGGUCAGAGCACACUUUGGCCAGAGUAGGUUCCUGGGCUAUGAGGGAAGGUUCUGUCAUUGCUUGUGGUUAAUCCAUGAAAGGCAUCUCAUGGUGAGCAUGAAGGAACACACCCUUCUUCAAGGUCUACAUGUCCCCUGUCACCACCAACACUACCCUGUGUGUUCUGGAAUGAAUCACAUUCUUGUCUACCCCAGGGCCUUUGCACAGCUGCCCCUUUAACUCCUUCCUCCACUGGGACAUUGUUCUCUGGGAUUAUGGCCUGGAGGGCGAAUUCCAAAUCUUCUUCUUCUAUUCCUCCACUGCACUGCCCACCUCUUUUCUGGACAGAUGUCUUUUAUUUUGGUUCUUUUUUUCGGAGCUGGGGACCGAACCCAGGGCCUUGCGCUUCUAGGCAAGCGCUCUAUCACUGAGCUAAAUCCCCAACCCCGACAGAUGUCUUUUUAACUUUACUUUUUAUUGCAUUCUUUGCUAAGCAUUGGCUCCAGGUUUUUAUCCUCCUCACCUAUACACCGCCAUACUCCUACAGCUGGGCACACCAAAGAUGUCUGAUGAAUGGUGAUAACCUGAGGGAGGGGAAAGGUGCCAAGCUGGUGCCCAGGGUGGGCUGAGAUCCACACCCUGAGGGUUGUGUUUACCUCAGCUGCAUGCACUGUUGUUGCUCAGCUGGUUUUGGUGGCAGGAGCACCGUGUUGGCCAGAGGGUCCUCUGUUGGACUGCUUCUAUACUUUCACAUCACACCCCCCAGGUCUCACCUCCUGGUGGAGUGUAGCUUGCCAUGCUUGUCACUUGAGUAGACUUCGAGGUCUCUGUUCAUUCUUCCCAUGUGUGGCCUGGCCAGCUCUAACCUGUAAGUCACAAGGCUGAGACUGCACCAGCUGGGCCCUAUCUCGCCACUGGGUGCCUCUUGUUUAGCACUGGCCUGAGCAGAUGUAAGUGAAACUCAUCUUCCUCCAGAAGGUGCCACAGGGCACUCAGAACAGUGGCACGGACUGCCAUCCCGUCUGAGGAAGCCUUUCACGACAUUGACUUUAGAGAGCAGGCAAUCAUCAAACGGGCUGGCACUUCUGUAUGCGAAUGGUGAAGGGCUUGCCACCAUGUCAGGCACAUAUUUCUCAGAGCAAGGGGCCAGUGUGGAGUAGUGGGGGCCCACCUUGCCAGGUGUCUCUCCAAGGCCCCCUCAGAGCUCCUUUUAUCCGUGUCUUGGUCCUACUCAGCCCCUGGGUACUUCUUAACUACUUGUUGUUUAUGAUUAUGCCGAGAAGACAUGGUGAGCUGAGCACCCUCUUUGGCCUUCAGUUACUGUGUUACAUUAGGAUGCCCCAAGAUCCUUUGCUUCUGCAGGACAGAACCUCAUUUCUAGCAUACCAGUCCUUCAACUAACCACUCCCCACAUCUAUUCCUUUGGAACUAACUGUCCCCACUCCUACCACUUCCAGCACAGAAAGAGAGAGGGGCAGGAAGGAAGGAGUGAACACCCAGGUCCUGCCCAGACAGGGCUCUGAGAAGAUCUGAUCUUCAAAGUAGAAUAAACUUUGCCCACACUCAGGGGUGACCCAUCGCUUCGGGGACCUGCUUCUCUCAUCUUCCCCAAAGUUCUGGACAGAUCAUGCUGCCCUGGAGAUCUAACACUCCAGGGAGCCCCAGAGACUCAGAGGUUUGUGGGGCUUGUGUGAUCUGAAUGUAGCCUGGGCAGGACCCCCAUGCCUGCCCACAGUCAUAGUUGUGUUUGAUUGUCGGUUCAAAUGAUGUCUUUCUCCUCUCCCAUCUCCCCUGUCUCAUCCUCUCAGAGCCCGGCUCUCUGCCCUUCCCACACCAGCCUCACAGGCUACACCAAGUGCUGUCUUGUCUCCGUGUGCUGUGGAAGAUAAGGAAGAAAGGGGCAGGCUGGACCCUUCUCUGUGGGGAAGUGUUGUGGAUUGCCCUGGUGCUGUUUAUAUUUUGAUGCUAACUCUGUUUCCUCAAGAGGGGCUGCCCAGCCUGAUGACGAGUGGAUCGAGUACUCAGAUAAUUUCAUGUGAACCUUCUCCCCACUUUAACUGCUCGAAUGGAGGCUAGAGCCUGUGAUUGGGCAGUGGAAGGGAAAGGUGAGGCUGGAAGUUUUAGGGAGGGAGAAGGGAGGAAGGAGAGGGAGACAAUGAGACGGAGGAGACAGAGGAAGAGGCGGUGGAAGGACGAUGGAACAGAGCCACGUGGCCUGGAGGAGCCACAAGUAUUAAGGGCUCUCAUAGCUGGGGAAUAGAGCAGUGUAGUGAUGUAUCUGUUCCAAUCUAGGCGUGUAACUUACAAAUACUGUAACUGAGUUGUGUGUUCUUUGCACAGGCUUAUUCAGGUUGGAGAUUUACUACAACAGGGACGGCCUAGUGCUUUCAAUAAAAGACAGAAGGGCACAGGGGGAGCCAGGCCCAGGCCCAGGGCCCAGUCUCAGCUCAUCCUUAAGCCCAUGUCAGCUGCGUCAUCCUGGUUUCCUGGACUAAUGGAUGACACUGGGGGGUAAGGACACCAGGAGGCCAGCCCUGCACCAUCAGAGCUGUCUACUGCUCUGAUUUUCCAAUCCUACCUGGAAAGAUUUUUGUUUUGUUUUGGUUUUGUUUUGUUUGUUUGUUUGUAUGUUUGUUUAUACCAAGUUCACUGUUCCCUGAGCUCAGUCCCUGGUGUAUAUGGUUGGUAGAAUGUGGCAGCCACCGUGUCUGCGCCCAACCCCUGAAGACUGUUAAGGCGGUGGAAAAGCAGGGGAUGAUCACGUUCAGUGGAACUCGUGGGGACCCGGGGAUGGCAGUCACAGGGGUGGGAUGAACCCCGCCCAGUGUUGUAUGAUCACACUGCUUUAGGAGUUGCUUAUGGAGGUGACAGGAGUUGGUUGACAAUGGUUCAUGACAGCCACUGACGAUUAAAGUACCUGAAAGCACAAGGCGAGGUAUCUGCUUGAAAUGUAAGUGCUUGAGGAGUCUGAAUGCCACACCCUCCAGUUGCUCUGCUCUGUCAUCAUAGCCGAUGCACCUGGUCACUGAUUAUUCCUCCCAUACAUGGUGGGGACAGCCCUCUCCAGAGUACUUACCCUGUGGGAGCUGCCUAACAUUGAUGGACGGCUUUGUUGAUUAUCCAGACUUUGGAAAGGGCCCGAGAAAACAUUAGUGGUGUGGAUUGAAUCAGAAGUGUGUCACACGUAGCUUUCGGACCAUGACCAGCCCCGAGCAUGGGUGAACUGUUCAUUCAGGAUUCACCCAAUCCAGCCAACAGGCAGUGAGUCCGUCCUCUUGUCAAUGCAUGAGGUUCCGAGCCCUGGGCUGUGUGUGUUUAGAUGCAGGUGUGACUCACCGAGGUCAACAAGAAUGUGACCAACAUUCACACGCCUGCUCAGAAAUGGUCUCCGAAGCUGGCUGUGGUCACCAAGACAAUUCAGAGAGGACCCCAGGGCACUGGGCCUUUGAGUGUUCUCUGUUCAUUCGGCUUGCAGGAGGGAUCCUUGUCAUAGUGAGUUGUAAAGUGAUACGGGUCACUAGAGGUAAUCCUAGCUCACGCUGUGGCAAGUAGCCCCUCUUCAGCACAAAAAUCAGUGACACACCAUUCUACCCACACAUGCCCCCAGACCAAGACCAGAGCGUUGUCAGAGAUCUGACAGCCCCACUUCCUCGCUCCCCCAGGCCAUGAUAGGCACCUUCUUGCAACCCCAUGGACAGAUUUCUGAUUUUGACACAUGGUGGCCACGUCUAUGUGUCUGGCUUCACUUCUCUCCGGAGCCCAUGGAGGUGAGAUUCUGUCGUCUUAGUCCAUGCAGCUUUGCCUGUUCACUGUUGUGUAAUCUUCCACAGUACAUCCAGCUAUGGUGGGGCACAACUUUAAUGCCAGCAGUCGACAGGCAGGUGAAUCUCUGUGAGAUCAAGGCUAGCCUGGGCUCUAUAGCAAGUGCCAAGCCAGCCAGGGCUACAUAGUGAGACCCCAUCUCAAGAAAACUGAAACAAAGCAAACAAAACAGCCCAGGGUGUACACCUUCACCUUAUUUGCUCCCUCUGUUGAUAAUGGGCUCUUGAGUGGCUUCAGGUGACAGAGCUGCCAUACAUAAUGUUAUCAGAAGCAACUGAUGUGUGUCUAUGGAUAAACAUGAAGAAUUGCUCAGGGAAUAUACCCAAAGGGACUGCUGUACUGGGUCUGGGUCAUCAUGUGCCUAGUUUUGGCAGAGCCUACACAACAUCGCGUAGAGAUAAGUGUGUGUGUGUGUGUGUGUGUGUGUGUGUGUGUGUGUGUGUGUGUACGUGAACAUGAGGCUACAGGUCAUCUAAGGUUGUUGUUCCUCAGACACUGUCUAUCUAGUGUUUUGAGGCAGAGUCUCUCACUAGUCUGGAGCUUGUCACUAAGUCACAUUAGCUGUGCACAGAGCCCCAGGGACCCUCUUGUCACCGCCUCUCCAGUGUUGGCAUUGAAAGUGCAGGCCACCGUGCCUGGCUUUUCAUGUGGAUUCUGGGGGAGGGGGGCAAACUUAAGUUGUGCUAGCGCUUUAUUGACUGAGCAGUGUCCCCAGCCCUAUGUCCUAAGGUUUCAGCAAGUCACACCCCAUAAGCACUGUGUGGAUGUGACAGAGACUCUGCCUCCCUCCAGCCUUGUCAUUUGCUCCUGCUUUAGCUGCUCUGAGUGUCAUACAGUGACUCACCAGGCUUUUAGUUCAUUUUCCUGAUGGCCAACUCAUAAGACCAGCACCUCAUCAUGCGCUCAUCAAUGUCCUCUUUAUGAAAAGGGCCGCAUCAAUCAGAGUGGCUUGUUUAAAGAUGUCUGACGUGAGGGGCCCUUCUGAGACAGUGUGUUCCUGGGGUUUGCCUGACUGCAGGCCCUUCUCCACCCUGCAUGUUAUGUUCUUGCUUUCCUCAUUGAAGUCACUUCAGGGACAGGAUUUCUUCACAUCCUGUGUGUGCACUAUUUAAGAAUCACCCCCUGCAUCACUUAGGCAGUGGCUGUCACCCUUUGGUUUCUUCCCAAACCUUCUCACUUGGAUCCAUGAUCUAUCAGCAACUGAACUUCACUCAGGCCGAGAGACUGUUCCUUUCCAGGCUGAACAUGCAGUUGGUUCCACCUUGCUUACUGAGAGUCCCUGCCACAUGCUGGUCAUUGCAUGGAACCCACAUCUGUGUCUUUGUUCUCGUGGGCAAAAUGAAUGCUGUAGCAAUGUCACCAUGUCUGAAACUACCCAGCUAUUUGUAUUGGCUAUCUGUCUUUUUGCUUUUUGUUGGUUUGUUUUGAGACAGGGUCUUGGGUAGCCCAGGGUGGCCUCAAAGUUAUUAUGUAGAGGAGAGUGACUUUUAACUCCUGAUCCUCUGAGCUUCUGUUUCUACUUCCUGAGUGCUGCGAUGACAGGCAAGUGCCAUCACAUCUACACAGGGAUGGAGAUGAAACCGGGACUUUCGUGCAUGCUAGGUAAGCUGUCUACCAACUGAGCCACGUGCCCAGCCAAGUAAAGGCACAACCUGGGCUCAGCUUGACUCUCCUGCCCCUCACUUUCUUUGUUCUUUGCUGUGAAGAUUGCUUAUCCGCUCUUGGCUCUUUGAAAUUUCUUCUGGGGUUAGGAAACCCAUCAUAGGUGUCCUGCAAGAAAGAUUUCAUCAGGAAAAAAAGGAAUGCAGCAAAACACACCCCCGGAAGGAGCCAUUGCCUUGCUCAGCCAGUGUUAUCAUGAUUCUCACUGACGCCAUGUACAAACCUGGGGAUUCUGAGCCGAGCCAGAUGACAGCCCCAGGGUAGAUCCCUGUCCAGUCCUUUCCACUGGUGAUGAAUGGAAGCCUAGAGAGCAAAGCCCACUCAUCCACACCCACAGACAUUGCUCAGCACCUACUGUGUGCCAGAUGGAGUCAUCGUGCCACUCACUAUCCUCGUCCCCAAUGUCCCAAGUGUGCUCCAGCUGCCACAGGGCCAGAGAGCUGAAACACACCCUUGUGGAUGGUCACUCUUGAGAUGAACUUGCCCUUCUCCCUGCACAUGAACGUAGAAGACAGGCCAUUUUCUGGAAAGAUGCUGAGUGUUGCCCUUAUAUGCUGGGCCCUGCUUGUCGUCUUGCAGUGCUGUCCAGGAUGCCUCCUAUAGAGAGAAGAGACCCACCCCUCCCUGGAAGGCCCUGGAACAUUCCAGAACAGUCUCUCUGAAUGCCCUGGAAGCAUGUGGCAAAGCAGCAAGAAAAGAGGGACUCUGUGAGCCUUCCCUGGUGAAAUUAGAUCUAUUGGCUCUGACAGCGGGGGCUCUGUGUGCCAGCCAAGGAAACAUAAAGCCAAAAGGCCGUGGCAAGAGGCUCUGAAGUUGUUCCUGCUUGAACUUGUCACCUCUGCGUAGGAGAUCCUGGGAGAGGUGGUCGGGUGGCCACCCCUAGACAGCAGGUCCCACCAUGGUGUGGCUAGAGCUGGAGCUCAAACUUGGAGCCGCAGCCACUGUUGCUCUAAAUAUAGGGGCUUUAGGAAACUUUAUGUGAGUUGUGCCCUCAGUUCACCCUCUGCGACCGGCACCUCCAGAAUGCCCACUUGGCGGAUUUUUUAUUUCCACAGACUUGUCCAGGAGGAAGGGUGGGAAAACCUUCCCCCAGUGCCAGGAGGGGAAAUCGUCCUCUAUCGAAUGGUAACUUGUUAUCUGCUCAACCCAUCAGCAUCAAACUUGCUUGGCCUGAAGCAUUCCGGGGCGAAUUCCACCAGGUAGCCCUAAGGUGGACCAGACCAUUAGAUUGACCGUAGUCAUCCAUGCAGAACCUGGGGCUCAGGACCUGGAAUGAAGGGUCCAGGGGUCCCCUGAGUACAUCCACAGAACCCUCUAGGGUGCCUAGCCCAGCAGUUUCCCAACCUUAAGGUUCCUGGGGACUCUUAUGAUCCUGGCUAUAAACAACCCUAUAUUUUCUUUUUAGAGAAUGCUUUUAGUCUUUGAUUGUGACAGCUAUGGAUCCAUCAUUCUUUGUUCAGAGAAAGGCCAAGAACUCCUGUGACUCUUGUCAGACCCUUUUGUUGCUACCGACAGCCUAAGACUGUCAUUUCUCUCGGACUCCUGAUGUACCACCUGCGCUGACCCCAGCUGUGCCCCCACUGACCCCAGUGCUGGGAUCUCCAGGCAUCUCCACUGGCCUCUCCGCAUCCUGGCAACUGAUUCAUUAUCUCUGGCAUCAUCUCUAGCAUCCUGGGCAUUGUGAGGACCACCAACAUACCCAGCAUCAUCCCCUGUGCCACAGCAGCAGCCUGUGUAUCCCAAGUGUUGACUGCACACCGGGGUGGACCACAGACCUCUCGAGUGCGGAAUGCGAUGCUUCUGAGGAGGGAUUCCAUCUUGUUCUGAUAGCCAAGAUGAGGCUAACGAACUGCCCCACAUCUUGCUGGCUUUGCAGUGAUGGGGGAAGGAGGAAGACAAGGAGGGACGAGGAGCAACGAAAUGCUGAAUGGUGACGUAGGGAGGUCUCUCAGCUAUGACUUAAUUCCACAGUGACCUGUUCAGCAGGCAGUGUUCUGGAGAUAUAGGUGUGGUGCACCCUAGCAAGUCGAGAGCUCCCUGAGGUGUGAGCUCCUCCAUCCACACCCAGGGUCCAGCUGCUGUCUGUGUGCCAGCAUGGGUCAUGCUUGGAUGUAAGUACCAAGAUCCGUGCAGGGCCCAGCAGCAAAAGAAUGGCUUUGCCUAGGCUGGUCUCCAUCACUUACAGGGGAGAAGGUGCUAUGCUGAAUCAUCUGGCCCAGAAGCUACAGGCUUCAGAGGAGCCCAGGUGGGACUGUCUGGGAAUGGGUCUCAUAAGAGCCUAGCUCAGAGCUGGCUCUGGAGAGCCACAGGAACGUGCUCCAGGAGCACACAGCACAGGCACACACUUGCUCAAUGGUACAGCACAUAAGCUCAGGUGAGGGGAGCGAUCCAGCCUAGCUCCAGUGCUGUGGACUCUGAAGUCACUCCAGACCCUGUGAGGGGUGUAAUGCAGUUUGUUUCCACAAUGCUGGAACUUUCUACACUUUUUGGCUUUCCUUUUUUUUUUCCAGGCAAGGUCUUACUAUAUAACCCUGACUAGCUUGGAACUCACUAUAUAGACCAGGCUGGCCUUGAUCUCACAGACGUCCAACUACCUCUGCCUCCUGAGUGCUGGGAUGAAAGGUGUGCACCAAUAGACCUAGCACCUUUCCAGUUUUGAUACAAGUUGACUUCUUUCCUCCCCAUAGCUCACACCCCAGGAGGAAGCUACAUGCAUUGCAGCUGCUUGUGAUACCCCUGGGUGUGUGGCCAUGUAGGUACACGAAGGAUGUGGUUGGGUACAUGGCGGGGGUGUAUGUAUUGGGUUCCAAACUAUCCAGAAAAGAGACGGUAGUCAUGGAGCCUCACAACAACCUGUAGAGAGAAUAUCUCGUGUAUUCUAUGUAUGCAUUACCUGUAGGUAACUGAAAAACCUGUAGGAAAGGGUUGAAUAGAAGGUGGGAUAUCUGGGAGGCAGAAAGGAUUCUGGGAUAGAACAAGGCAAGGGAGAAUCACCUGGGAAGAUGUGACCAGACCUGAACACAGGUAACCAGUCAUGUGGCAGACUGUAGGUUAGAAUAAACAAGCUAUUUUUAUGUUGUGAUUUUGUCAAAGAAGAGCAUAGUUAUGUGACCGAGGUAUUUGUAGAUAUAUUUUGAGUCUGUCUUAUUUCUGAGAGCAUGGGGCUGAGAGGAAGAACCAGGCCUAAAUUCUACAACAAUCAUCUAGGAAGGAGAGAAAAAAAACUAAACUGAGGGUCACUGAAACCCCCAAAUCAGAGCCAUGGGUUCUGACUCACUACUCAGCAGCCUCAUGGCUAUUGGCUGAUGCUAGUGGGCUCAUCCCAACAGCUGGGGGACAAUAGGACCAACCAUCCUCAUAGGAGAGUGAAAGGUUCAUUUCAGGGGUCAGUCUAGAGAGGCCAUGGAUGCUCUGUGUGACACUCAGGAACUUACUUUCUAGCAGGUUAUGAGCUUCAGGUAAGAAUGAAGGUAGGAGCCCUCCUUAGGAAGUGGGGACCAGUACUUAGGAAAUGGGAUUCUAGGUAGCUAUAGUGACUGUGAGAGUUGGGGGUGAGAGGUGUAUAGGGGUGAACAUCCUAAGCCUAGUGCCUCUGACCAACCCCUGCUCCAAGUGCCUCACUCCCUGCCAGCACUGAUUCCAAACACACAGGUCUUUGGCCUGGGCAGAUGGGCCGUGGGGCUACUUGGGCGUCCUUGCAUGAAUCCACUGCCAAUGUGGGGUCCAAAAGGCAGAUGUCUUUCCCAGGUCCCAGUUCAAAUUCAGGGUGCCAAAGAAUAUCCUGUUCAUGGUAAGGAUGUCUUUCUGACUUGAGUCCUCACAUGGCUGUCUGGGGGAGGGAUGGGAUUCAUCAGAGUCAUUUCUUAUGAAGGUGCCAGCUCCAUCAUGGAGCCAAACAAAUAACCUCACUCACCUAUCACCGCCCCACCCCCCGACACACACACACACACACAUAUCACCGCCCCCCCCAUACACGUGCAUUGUGCAUGCCUACCUUUAGACAAGGUGGGAUCAGAGCUUAGCAUUGGCACAGGGAGCAGGAUUCAGUCUGAGAGAUGGUUUUGCCACAUGGGAAUGCUCAACAAAUAAAUAUAUAUUCAUGAAAUGAAUUAAUGACCGUGUCCUACUGGCAAAGGUGACUGCUGGGCACUUGGAGUCUCCUGGGUUCUCACCUCCAUUUUUUCCUUCCUUUGUAGGCCUUGAAGUGGACUUCUGUUGUAUAGGGCACAUGUUGGGCUCAUUCAUACCUAGAGACUGGCAGGAGCGGGGCCUGUGUCUGGCAGGAUAGCUGUAUCUGCUCUAGUCUGCCUGCCUGUGCCACCCUUUCUAACCUUCUUUCUUUUCUCUAUGAAUUUCUCAGGGCCCAUUCAUCUCAGCUCAGACUCCCUUAGAAACUGAUUACCAAGGCCGUUUGAAUCUCUCUGUCGCCUGAGAUUGUUUACAUAGGAAAGGGGUCUACUUGGGACAAAGAAUCAGAAAAGAGUAGAGAGGAAGUGAAUGCAUAGGCAUGUGAGCUAGAGAAUGAGAGACCGAAGAAACAAGCAGGUGAAUGAAUGAGUGAUGGAUGAAUGGGCAUGGGAACGAGUGCGGAGUGACCGAGGGAAUCAAUUAGUGAAUGAGUGAGUGAGGAGUGACCGAGUGAAUGAAUUAGUGAAUGAGUGAGUGAGUAACUGAAGGAAUGAGUGUCAGGAAAGGAAGAGUGAGAGAAUCAGGAAUGAAGGAAGGGCCAGGGUAAGAGUUAGCUGAACUGCCUCUUGCCUCCUUUGACUCUCCCUGUGUCUCUGUGCAUGCUUCUCCCACACCCAGGCCUCAGUUUCUCAUACUACAGCUGACACAAAGGCCCCAGGCCAUCUCAGUAGGCAAGUCCCUGGGUCCUUACUGAGUCCAUAGGGCUGCCUGAUGAUGGAGAGGGAGGAACUUAGGACUGUAGAUAUGUGUCACCUCACAUGCCCCACACCUUCUGGACUCAGGCUUAGACAGGCAAGCAAGGAGUCUCCCUGCCUCUGGCUGCAGGUCUCUUCACUCUUGCCCAGGGCUCAGCCCAUGGUAUCAUGGCUUAAAUCCACUCUAACCUCUGUCCUUGCAUUGGGGUCAAAGCCCUGGGAACUCCCUCUAGUCAACAGGUUAGCCCUUCUCAGUACAGUUGGAGAGAUGGGUUUGGGUUAGCAGCCUGCCUGAAGAUCCUGGGUGCUGUCAGCUCCCAGUGUUGACUCAGCUUUAGCCAAUCCAAGAGGCCUUUGGGACAAGCCUGGUCACACAAGCUCCCUAGGUCCAGAUAUACCCCACCCUUUCCUUGUGGCCUCCACAGGACAUUACUUCAUCAGGGUGGGGCUGGGGGUGCAGGCAGCAGACGAGGCCAACAGAUUAGACCUGGAAUGUGCUUCUGGCUUUGCUGCCUUGUGUUAAGUGGGAGGAGAUGGGUGGCAGAGAGGCUUCUGUGUGACCAGGGAUCAGAUGGAAGGACAUUCUGGAGGCUGGAGAUGGUUGGGACCUUCCUUGUCCACUGCAGCUAUCCAGUGCAGCUAGUCAGAGAGUAUGGGCAGGAAGAGAGUCAGCUGUCAGUGUGUCUAACUGGGCUGCUAGGGCAGAGGAGACAGAGGAGGAGUAGGCGGGUGCCACAGGAGGCAUUGCUCCCAUUGGUACUCAGUGCUGUUUGUUAGGGUUCAUUAGCCUAUGGCCUGAAAUGACCUGGCCUGGGCAGCAGGGUACUGCUGCAGGGGACAAAGGGGGU